rnacentral:rRNA from 1 species
AUCGAUGAAGAACGCAGCGAAACGCGAUAUGUAUUGUGAAUUGCAGGUUUUGUGAAUCAUCGAAUCUUUGAACGCACAUUGCGCCCCCUGGCAUUCCGGGGGGCAUGCCUGUUUGAGCGUCAGUGCAUUCUCACUUCUUGUGGUGUUGGAGUUGCCUGCGAAGGCUUCUCUGAAAUGCAUUGGCAUGCGGCUGAACGUAAAGCGGAUAGAUUUCGUGAAGCGGAAGGCGCGUGGGCCAGACAACUUUUAAGUUGACCUCAAAUCAGGUAGA